rnacentral:tRNA from 1 species
AGCAGAGUGGUCUAAUGGGAAGACCCUGGGCUUGGAAGUCAGAGGAGCUGAGUUCUAAUCCCAAUUCUGCCA